ACAAUACAUGACCUCAUUGGGGUAGGACAACCCGCUAGACUUAAGCAUAUCA
rnacentral:rRNA from 1 species